GACGAACGCUGGCGGCGUGCCUAAUACAUGCAAGUCGAGCGAACAGACGAGGAGCUUGCUCCUCUGACGUUAGCGGCGGACGGGUGAGUAACACGUGGAUAAUCUACCUAUAAGACUGGGAUAACUUCGGGAAACGGGAGCUAAUACCGGAUAAUAUCUUGAACCGCAUGGUUCAAUAGUGAAAGACGGUUUUGCUGUAAUUAAUAGAUGGAUCGCCGCCGCUUAGGGGGGUGGGUAAGGUAACGGCCUACCAAGGCGAGGAAGAGUAUCAGACAGGAGAGGGUGAUCGGCCAAACUGGAACGGAGACAGGCUCCAGACGCCUAGGGAAGGCGCCAGAAGGGAAUCUUGCGCAAGGGGCGAAAGCUUGACGGAGAAACGCCGCGUGAGUGAGGAGGUUCUCCGGAUCGUAAAACCCGGUUAUUAGGGAAGAACAAAUGUGUAAGUGACAAUGCACGUCUUGACGGUAACUAAUCAGAAAGGCACGGCUAACUACGUG
rnacentral:rRNA from 1 species